rnacentral:rRNA from 1 species
AUUGAACGCUGGCGGCAGGCCUAACACAUGCAAGUCGAGCGGUAGAGAGAAGCUUGCUUCUCUUGAGAGCGGCGGACGGGUGAGUAAUGCCUAGGAAUCUGCCUGGUAGUGGGGGAUAACGCUCGGAAACGGACGCUAAUACCGCAUACGUCCUACGGGAGAAAGCAGGGGACCUUCGGGCCUUGCGCUAUCAGAUGAGCCUAGGUCGGAUUAGCUAGUUGGUGGGGUAAUGGCUCACCAAGGCGACGAUCCGUAACUGGUCUGAGAGGAUGAUCAGUCACACUGGAACUGAGACACGGUCCAGACUCCUACGGGAGGCAGCAGUGGGGAAUAUUGGACAAUGGGCGAAAGCCUGAUCCAGCCAUGCCGCGUGUGUGAAGAAGGUCUUCGGAUUGUAAAGCACUUUAAGUUGGGAGGAAGGGCAGUAACCUAAUACGUUGCUGUCUUGACGUUACCGACAGAAUAGGCACCGGCUAACUCUGUGCCAGCAGCCGCGGUAAUACAGAGGGUGCAAGCGUUAAUCGGAAUUACUGGGCGUAAAGCGC